rnacentral:rRNA from 1 species
GAUGAACGCUGGCGGCGUGCCUAAUACAUGCAAGUCGAGCGAACGGGCGAGAAGCUUGCUUUUCUGAUGUUAGCGGCGGACGGGUGAGUAACACGUGGAUAACCUACCUAUAAGACUGGGAUAACUUCGGGAAACCGGAGCUAAUACCGGAUAAUAUUUUGAACCGCAUGGUUCAAAAGUGAAAGACGGUCUUGCUGUCACUUAUAGAUGGAUCCGCGCUGCAUUAGCUAGUUGGUAAGGUAACGGCUUACCAAGGCAACGAUGCAUAGCCGACCUGAGAGGGUGAUCGGCCACACUGGAACUGAGACACGGUCCAGGCUCCUACGGGAGGCAGCAGUAGGGAAUCUUCCGCAAUGGGCGAAAGCCUGACGGAGCAACGCCGCGUGAGUGAUGAAGGUCUUCGGAUCGUAAAACUCUGUUAUUAGGGAAGAACAUAUGUGUAAGUAACUGUGCACAUCUUGACGGUACCUAAUCAGAAAGCCACGGCUAACUACGUG